rnacentral:rRNA from 1 species
CGGGACGGGUGAGUAACGCGUGGGUAACCUGCCUUAUACAGGGGGGUAACAGUUGGAAACGGCUGCUAAUACCGCAUAAGCGCACGGCAUCGCAUGAUGCAGUGUGAAAAACUCCGGUGGUAUAAGAUGGACCCGCGUUGGAUUAGCUAGUUGGUGAGGUAACGGCCCACCAAGGCGACGAUCCAUAGCCGACCUGAGAGGGUGACCGGCCACAUUGGGACUGAGACACGGCCCAA